rnacentral:rRNA from 1 species
UGGGGAAUUUUGGACAAUUGGGCGCAAGCCUGAUCCAGCCAUGCCGCGUGCGGGAAGAAGGCCUUCGGGUUGUAAACCGCUUUUGUCAGGGAAGAAAUCUUCUGAGUUAAUACCUCGGGAGGAUGACGGUACCUGAAGAAUAAGCACCGGCUAACUACGUGCCAGCAGCCGCGGUAAUACGUAGGGUGCAAGCGUUAAUCGGAAUUACUGGGCGUAAAGCGUGCGCAGGCGGUUUUGUAAGACAGAGGUGAAAUCCCCGGGCUCAACCUGGGAACUGCCUUUGUGACUGCAAGGCUUGAGUGCGGCAGAGGGGGAUGGAAUUCCGCGUGUAGCGUGAAAUUGCGUAGAUAUGCGGAGGAACACCGAUGGCGAAGGCAAUCCCCUGGGCCUGCACUGACGCUCAUGCACGAAAGCGUGGGGAGCAAACAGGAUUAGAUACCCUGGUAGUCCACGCCCUAAACGAUGUCAACUGGUUGUUGGGGAAGGUUCCUUCUCAGUAACGUAGCUAACGCGUGAAGUUGACCGCCUGGGGAGUACGGCCGCAAGGUUGAAACUUAAAUGAAUUGACGGGGUCAUAGCUGUUUUCCUG